GUAAUGACGUAAUACCCGGUGUUCUGCCGUAAACGUUAUUCCCGCAUGAAGUAAUUUCAACUAAAACAACUGUUACAGGCUGUUGGUCGGUAUCGUUCGUCAACAGGAAAGCGCAUUAAAUGCAACGUUUUUAUAGAACUUAGCUGGAAGCCAAUUUUGUGAAACCGCUAUCCACAUUGACUGAGGCACUGGUUCCAAAUAGAGAAAACAGCCCCAACCUGUGAUGCCAACACUACGCUUCCCUGGAGCCAAACAUCAUCAUUCCACAUGCCGGUUUUGGCCCGAGAUGAAGCUGCAGCUGAAUGCCAAAAAACAAAGCGGCUCCAGUAUCCGCUCGGCAGCUACUAAGGGUGUUUGCCAUGAUGCUUUUGGUGCUUGUAUUGGGCUGUCACAUCCUCUCUGCCAGCUCCAAUAAACAGUCACUUCACAUAUCAGAGCUGCUAAGUCACAGCCAACUCGAGAGGAGCACCUGAGGUGAACCCAGAGUGUCCCUCAUAUUCAGCUUGGCUAUAUCAGCAUUCCAGCAGUCCUUACUGGAGAAAAAACUUUUUGUUGGGGUCAGUGUGCACAUUAUAUUGUGUGUGUUCACCUGGACUCUACAAGAUGAAUGACUCGAGCUUUCAGGCUGAGAAAUGGCUGCAGUGCGUUAAAUCUAACAAUCAAGCUUCUUCUGCACAGCUGAAUGGACAGGCACAAAAACUGUGAAUGGUAGUAUGAAAGGGCUAGCCAAAGAAAAUAAUUGCUGCUGUGUUCAACAGAGAGAGGAAAUAACGUCAAAUAUGUUGUUUGCAGCAAACGAGCAACAUAUUAAAUUGCUCAUGCGGGCAGUAGGGCAUGGGUUCAAUCACUGGAAAUGAAA